AAAAUGUUGAAGUGCCCGAAUUUUGAUGACCGAAUGGAUGACUGACCCUUACAUGGAGCGUGGACCCCGCGUGAAUAAAAUAAUGCCGGACCCCCAAGGUGUGAGUGUUCGGUCAUCCCGCAUGUCAAUCAUUAUGCUUGUGUAGCAUGGUCCUUAUAAAUAUCAGUAGUCAAAUAUUAUAAUUAUGUAAUAUCAAAGACGUUCAUAAAAACAUAGUAUGAUAUAUAUAUCAAAGCUGAAUUGUACUCGACAAGAAAUUUCUUAUUUUAUGAAGAUAUAAUUUUAGAUCGCU
rnacentral:lncRNA from 1 species